AUGGGUGGAAUUGUUGCUAGACGGUUGAGUAUGAACCGUACUAAGGGCCCCAUCUUUGGAGGUAUUUAUGCUUCACGCCUAGCUGAACAUUUUGAAAUACCUAUUAGGCAUGAGGAGAAAGAAGAAACAACGCUGCCCCGUGCUUAUUUAGAUUAUAAGAGUAUGAUAGCGCAUGAUUUUCUUGUUAAUAAUCGCGAAAGGGCGCUUAAAUAUAAAUUGUACUUUGAUAAACAUCACCCUGGGACUAUUACUUUGCCUGCUCCCUCUUUGUUUAACUUGUCUGCAGGUACUUACAUUGUUCCGUGGGCGGCUGUUCAAGCCUAUCGGAAUCCUGCACCAGCCUCGGAACCGGAGCCUCCACGAAUGUCUGUUUAUUCUUGGGAUCCUGAGGCGGUUGCCAGCCAGUGGCAGUCAGAGUCCUCUUCAUCACAUUAUGAUCCCAACUAUUCUUCAUCACAGUAUGACCCCAGCUUCAUCUACGGAUAUCAGCCAGGUUAUCCCUGGCAAUAG
rnacentral:rRNA from 1 species